GCUUUGUGUUUCUUGUUGUAUAUUGAAGUGGCAUACUGUCUGUGCACAAAAUAAAGCUGACUAUGUCUGUGUCCACGCAGUGAAGCCGGGUCAAUGUCCCAUACCAGAGAUGAUUCCACUGUGUGCUGAAAGCUGUUUCCAUGAUGGCCAGUGUCCUGCCACACAGAAAUGUUGCCCAACCACCGGUGGCUUUGCAUGCAGUGAACCACGUGGCCAGGGAAGCGGUUGUGGCCAGGGAAAUGGCCAGGACCAGGGAAGUGCUUCUGGCCAGGGCAGCGGUCAGGGAAGCGGACAGGGUCAGGCCAGCGGUCAGGGAUGUGGCCAGGACCAGGGCAGCGGCCAGGGAAGCGGUUCUGGACAGGGCAGCGGUCAGGGAAGUGGACAGGGCCAGGGCAGCGGUCAGGGAAGCGGCCAAGGAAGCGGUUCUGGUCAGGGAAGGGGCCAGGGAAGCGGACAGGGCCAGGGAAGCGGUUCUGGCCAGGGAAGUGGCCAGGGAAGUGGCCAGGGAAGCGGAGAGGGCAGCAGUCAGGGAAGUGGUUAUGGUCAGGGAAGCGGCCAGGGAAGCGGUUCUGGUCAGGGAAGCGGACAGGGCCAGGGAAGUGGCCA
rnacentral:lncRNA from 1 species